CGAACGGAUCGCAUUAUAAUUAUCAUUAUUUGAUGAUUGGCGAUAGAUCAUUCAAGUUUCUGACCUAUCAGCUUUCGACGGUAGUGUAUUGGACUACCGUGGCAGUGACGGGUAACGGGGAAUUAGGGUUCGAUUCCGGAGAGGGAGCCUGAGAAACGGCUACCACAUCUAAGGAAGGCAGCAGGCGCGCAAAUUACCCAAUCCUGACUCAGGGAGGUAGUGACAAGAAAUAACAACACUGGAAAUUUGAUUUCUAGUGAUUGGAAUGAUGGGAAUCCAAACCCCUUUCAGAGUAACAAUUGGAGGGCAAGUCUGGUGCCAGCAGCCGCGGUAAUUCCAGCUCCAAUAGCGUAUAUUAAAGUUGUUGCAGUUAAAAAGCUCGUAGUUGGAUGUCUGUUGGAAGCAAUCAUCAGUCCGCCCUAUUUGAUUAGGGUGUGAAUAUGAUGAAUUCCGGCAUAAUUGUCUCCCUAUUGUUAAUAUUCUGAUUGUUAGAUUCAUUUCUAACAAUAAUACGAUUAUUAAUAAUAAGGGGGAAAUGUUACUUUGAGAAAAUUAGAGUGUUUGAAGCAGGCUUUUGUUGCCUUGAAUACUGCAGCAUGGAAUAACAAUAUAGGAUUUCGGUUCUAUUUUGUUGGUUCUUUUUUUAGGACUGAAAUAAUGAUUAAUAGGGACAGUUGGGGGCAUUCGUAUUUAACUGUCAGAGGUGAAAUUCUUAGAUUUGUUAAAGACGAACUACUGCGAAAGCAUUUGCCAAAGAUGUUUUCAUUAAUCAAGAACGAAAGUUAGGGGCUCGAAGACGAUCAGAUACCGUCGUAGUCUUAACCAUAAACUAUGCCGACUAGAGAUAGGAANAUUGUCAUUUUACUUGACNUUCUCCU
rnacentral:rRNA from 1 species